GAUGAAGAACGUAGCGAAAUGCGAUAAGUAAUGUGAAUUGCAGAAUUCAGUGAAUCAUCGAAUCUUUGAACGCACAUUGCGCCCCUUGGUAUUCCGAGGGGCAUGCCUGUUCGAGCGUCAUAUUAACCACUCCCGCUUGCGGGGUCUUGGGCUUCGCCUCCGGGCGGGCCUUAAAAUCAGUGGCGGUGCCGUCGGGCUCUACGCGUAGUAAAUUUUCUCGCGAUAGGGUCCCGGUGGAUGCUUGCCAACAACCCCCAACUUCUAAAGGUUGACCUCGGAUCAGGUAGGGAUACCCGCUGAACUUAAGCAUAUCAAUAAGCGGAGGA
rnacentral:misc_RNA from 1 species